CUAAUUCUUGAUUCUGUGCCUUUUUCCCUGGUCCUUUUUUCUUUUCACUCAGAAAUGAUUUUUAGCAUUGUGAGCCAUGUCUGCAUUUGAAAUUACACCAGAACCAAAUACUGGACAAGGCUUCUGCUGUUACAAAGAUACUGAAAAGGCAUACGUGUAAGCUCCUCAGAAGCGGGGAAGCAGGCCAGUUUCUGAUGAGUGUGAUCAUACCAGCCAUGGUUUGGACCAGUCCAUGGAAGAAGAGAUCUGCAAGCGAAGGAACCACAGCAUAGGAGGUUGUUGCUUGAUUUGCGACCCUUUGCUCUCCAGGCUCUUCAGAAACCUGUUUCUUUAGUCUAUGAUCAAGUUAACGAUUCUGAUUUAGGUCUAUCCACGGUCUCCAUAUCAACUUCUAAUUCAACCUAAUUGUGAAAGACAAGUAUGGGAAGAUUAUGCAAACAAAAUUAGUUUGCUUGGAGGAUGAUCAGUUGCCAAAAUACUGUGGACUGUUGAAGCACACGCUUUUUAGGAACUGUGACAGUGAUUUGUAUAUGGAGAGUUCAACUGCAAAACUUUCCAAGUAACUUUGGAGGCUCCACUGCUGCACUUGCGUUCACCAGUUGGGGUAGAAGUCCUUGCACGGAAAUUUGAUGGAAUGGAUGAUUUGACAUCUAAAUAAGAUGGGUAUUUUCAUGUUGAAUUUUUUCCAAGUUCUAAAAUAUUGCAUUCUAAGUUUUGGUCCACUAUUUAUUUAUUUUCUAUGCUUGCAGGAACAAGUUCUGUAAGAUCUUUUAUGGUGCAUUUGAUGGCCAGUUUGCUGCAAUGGAUGCAACCACAAUUGGUAAAGAGUCAUUUGUGCUUGAGGCAUUACAAAGUGUCUUGGAUAAGUACUUGGGAGUAAAUUUUUUGAUUUGGCAAAGCUCAUGGACUGAAUUUGUUUUCUUUGACACAGACUUCUUUAAAGAAAUUGGUCCCGCCGAUGAUAUCAAGAUAGUAAAUUGAUGCCAUUGUCAUAGCAGAAGCUUUCUGUCUCAAUCGGUACUUUUACAUGUGAGUCAUCCACAUUUUGUAAAGAAGGAUUCAGUAUGGCUUUUGAUCAUGCUGCAUACCUCAGCAGAUAUCAGGUUGAGGCUAAUGCUGCUGCUGCUGCCAACUAAAAGGAGGCUGUGUGACAUGGGGACGUGCACAGAAAUUUAUAAAGCUUUAACACUUGUAAUUUAGCAUCUUUUUAAUAACCGUUGACAAUUUUAUUUCACUUUGAUAUUUCUUCUUGGCUCUUUUCCUUUUGUGUUUUGGUUUCGGACCACCAACACACCCAGCACAGUUACACAUACGCCAUGAUCAACUUAGUAACUCCCUUUUUAUCUCACGCUAGCACACCUCUCUGUCUCUUUAUAAAAGGCUACAUUUUCUUGAAAU